UACGUAGGUGGCAAGCGUUGUUCGGAAUUAUUGGGCGUAAAGGGCGCGUAGGCGGUUUGUUAAGUCAGCUGUGAAAGCCCGGGGCUCAACCCCGGAGAGUCGACUGAUACUGGCAAACUAGAGUACGGAAGAGGUAGCUGGAAUUCCCGGUGUAGUGGUGAAAUGCGUAGAGAUCCGGAGGAACACCAGAGGCGAAGGCGGCCUACUGGGCUGCACCUGACGCUGAGCCGCGAAAGCCAGGGGAGCGAACGGG
rnacentral:rRNA from 1 species